GAGUUUGAUCAUGGCUCAGAUUGAACGCUGGCGGCAUGCCUUACACAUGCAAGUCGAACGGCAGCAUGAUCUAGCUUGCUAGAUUGAUGGCGAGUGGCGAACGGGUGAGUAAUACAUCGGAACGUGCCCUGUAGUGGGGGAUAACUAGUCGAAAGAUUAGCUAAUACCGCAUACGACCUGAGGGUGAAAGUGGGGGACCGCAAGGCCUCAUGCUAUAGGAGCGGCCGAUGUCUGAUUAGCUAGUUGGUGGGGUAAAGGCCCACCAAGGCGACGAUCAGUAGCUGGUYUGAAAGGACGAUCAGCCACACUGGGACUGAGACACGGCCCAGACUCCUACGGGAGGCAGCAGUGGGGAAUUUUGGACAAUGGGCGAAAGCCUGAUCCAGCAAUGCCGCGUGUGUGAAGAAGGCCUUCGGGUUGUAAAGCACUUUUGUCCGGAAAGAAAUGGCUCUGGUUAAUACCUGGGGUCGAUGACGUACCGGAAGAAUAA
rnacentral:rRNA from 1 species